CCACAAACCAUCUCUGCCACUCCUCCGGGGGAUCAUCUUCCUGAGUUUCUGUGCCAGGUUUGGACUAUUCAUGAAAAGCUCUGAAAACCGGUGCACCUGAGACCACAGCCCGAGGAUAUCCAGGCCCAUGCAGAAUGGAGCUCAAAGAGGAGAAGCGACCAACCCAAGAUCCCACAACACAGAGAAGGCAAUACUAGCUCGGGCUAGUGUAACCCAGCCUUGCAAAGCCAGGCCACCAAGAGGAAACCAGAUGCCAGCACAUCCCGC
rnacentral:lncRNA from 1 species